AAGGAGAGCUUUGUUUGGGGCCACACUCUGAUGGUGAAGACUUACUCGCUGUUAUUUGAAUUUUUUAUGAAAUAUGAGUUAGUGUCUACUAAUAAAGCAAAGCCAUUACAAAUGGUGACACGUUAAAUGUUUAUUUAAAUAAAAGUAUCUGAGUAAUUUAUUUAUGAGUAACACAUUAUUCUGGAACUGAAUAUUCAUUUCGAGCCUCAAGAAGUCUAAACUCAUCUGAGCAGAUUUGGGUGCGAUCUCAGAGAUUCCUGCAUCUAUACAUCACCAUCAGAAGACAACAUUCAUAAAAGCACAAGAGAAGAAUCAGUGUCCAGCGAGGAGCAUCUCAGUCCCAUCAAGAUCAUUAAGUACAUAUACAGAAGAACAAGAAGAAAUGAAUAUUCAAAUACCAACACCAGCAGUAACAGUGACCGAGGUCUCCGUUCAGCCAACUGUACCAUUGGUUCAGUCCACUUUGGUCAUGAGUCAAAUGCCAGUUGCUAUUGUACCAGAUUACUUGGGCUACUCCAUCUUUAACAUGCUGUGCUGCUGUUUCCCUCUGGGCAUCGUGGCUAUCAUCUUCUCAUGCAGUGCUCGAGAUGCUAACUUUUCUGGACAGCGAGACUUAGCGAAGAGCCACUCCAGAGUGGCAUUUAUCCUGAACAAUGUGUCUGUCGGUAUCGGCCUCGCAAUCAUGACAACAAUUCUUGUCAUUUGUUUGAAAUAUGCUUGAACAACAUCUUUGAACAGAUGUUUUAUUCUGCUUCAAAUGCAUCUACUCAUUCUGUCCAUGAUAAUGUCAACUCAAGUCAAUGAUUUUGCGGAAGAAAUGAAAAAUAUUUUCCAGACCCUCUUAGGGAAUAAUGUAAUAAACAUUUAUCUUUCAUUUCUUUUUGUAUUUAAUGCUGGCAGACUGAUCUGUUUGAUUAGCAUAAAUGAAAUGCUUUACUGCUUUUAACUUAAUCCU